rnacentral:rRNA from 1 species
CCUACGGGCGGCAGCAGUGAGGAAUAUUGGUCAAUGGCCGGAAGGCUGAACCAGCCAUGCCGCGUGAAGGUCAGUGCCCUAUGGGCGUUAAACUUCUUUUGUGCGGGAGCAAUAAUGGUCACGUGUGGCCAGACGAGAGUACCGUACGAAUAAGCAUCGGCUAAAUCCGUGCCAGCAGCCGCGGUAAUAAGGGGGAGGGAAGCGUUAUACGGGUUUAUUGGGUUUAAAGGGUGAGUAGGCUGGGAGGUAAGUCAGCGGGGAAAUGCCGCCGGUCAACGGGGUGAAGUGCCAUUGAAACUGCCUGGCUGGAAUGCGCAUGCCGUGGGAGGAAUGUGUGGUGUAGCGGUGAAAUGCAUAGAUAUCACACAGAACACCGAUUGCGAAGGCAUCUCACGAAUCCGCGAUUGACGCUGAUGCACGAAAGCGUGGGUAUCGAACAGGAUUAGAUACCCUAGUAGUC